rnacentral:misc_RNA from 1 species
CUUGCGUCACGCAUGCGCGCACACACACACACACACAGAUACGCUCAUCGCCUACGAGGGUUGGCUGGAUGGAAGCCUGCAUGCCGGCUGCGACUGCCCCAUCUCUUGUCCUCGUGGACAUGGGGGCGCCACUCCAGGAAUGUCUGCGGCGGCUGCAUGCGCAGACAGCGCGCGUAGCAGCGACGCUCGCUGCUGAGCAACAGGACAAGCUGUUCGGUGGCACGGCAGCGCCGUCGGCAGCGGCCCUCCUCUCCGAGUACCGCGCAGUGGCCUCCGAUACCCUCGACAGCAGCGACAGUGACACCGCGCAGCUCCGCCGCCGCAUUGCGCGGAAGCUGCAGCGGCUACGGAAAGAGCGACACAUAGACCUCUGCUCCCCCACUGCGUUCCCCGACGACGUCGACGACUUGGCGGCUGCACUCCCGGCAAUGCCGGCAGGGGCGAAGGCGCGGAGCGAGGCGUCGGGCAAUCAUGCCAAGGCACCCACCCGUGCACCCCCGCCGCCACCGCUGUCGGACGACGUGUGGGUGGUGCAAGGCGGUGGUGAAGACGAGGACGACAUAUUCGGCUGGGUCACACAGCGCCCCAACGAAUCGCCGCAUCCCGCCUCGGAGCGAGCAGAAUCUGCCGCCUCACCUCCACGCGCCGCGGCAGCUGCGGUGGCGGGCACGGCCAGGGUCACAGCAGGCGAGGCGCACGACGGCGAAGGCGCCGUUGACGCUCUGCUGAGCCGCAUCGCGUGCUGUCUCGGGGACGUGGUGGAGUGCAAGUGUCGUCAUGUCGCGACAAUCGAAGGCGUUUAUCAGCAGCUGAUCACACUGCAGCGCUACGCGGAGAGCCUCUUGAGCAUGCGCGAGGGCAGCUCCGGCGGCGCGGCGGACAGCCUCGGUGCGCGGCUGCGUCGUCUCCUUGCCUACCAGCCCUCGCACACCGUCGCCUCGGAGGAGGAGCAGCAGGUCUGGCAACGCGCGUGGACGGCAAUGGGGUGCAACGCCGCGUCUGCGCUAAGGGUGGGUACAUCUGUCGAGAUGAUCGACGUGGCGGUUCUUGCGCGCGCCAACGUGCAGCGCUACGAGACCCUGCAGCGGCGUUGGAUGGCGGUGCGGCAGGCGUACGAGGCGCACGUGGGGCAGCUUAACCAGCAAAUGGCGCUGGCGGCCCUUCAGCUGGACAAGAUGGAGGCCAUGUCGAAGUCGGCGCAGCAUUAGCCCCAUGGCUGAUGGCAACAGGGGACGCACUUGCCACGCUGACCAUCGUUCCCUACGCUCUCCUCGGGCCCUCCUCAGCCAACCAACCCACUGCUGCGGCAGAGCCACGACCGGGUCUCUCUCUCUUUGGCCAAAAACGAUGAUCGGGUAGAUGUUUACGUAUGCUGUAUGCUGACCUGCUGAGUGCCAGCUGGUGCGCGACAUUCUCUCUUGUCCGGGCCGUUCCACAUCCCUCUCCCGCUCUGUGCGAAAGGUAAUCAAGCA